rnacentral:rRNA from 1 species
AAAGGAAUUGACGGGGGCCCGCACAAGCAGCGGAGCGUGUGGUUUAAUUCGAUGCAACACGAAGAACCUUACCUGGGCUUGACAUGGUCGUAGUAGUGAAGCGAAAGCGGAACGAGCCUUCGGGCAGCGAUCACAGGUGCUGCAUGGCUGUCGUCAGCUCGUGUCGUGAGAUGUUGGGUUAAGUCCCGCAACGAGCGCAACCCUCGCUACUAGUUACAAGUGUCUAGUGGGACUGCCGGAGUCAAACCGGAGGAAGGUGGGGAUGACGUCAAGUCAGCAUGGCCUUUAUGUCCAGGGCUACACACACGCUACAAUGGCCGGUACAAUGAGUUGCUAAACCGCGAGGUGGAGCUAAUCUCAUCAAAGUCGGCCUCAGUUCGGAUUGCAGGCUGCAACCCGCCUGCAUGAAGUCGGAGUUGCUAGUAACCGCAGGUCAGCUAUACUGCGGUGAAUACGUUCCCGGGCCUUGUACACACCGCCCGU